rnacentral:lncRNA from 1 species
GGCGCUCAGACCUCCAGCACUGCAGUCACUACCCUCAGAGACCCUAUCUGCUUGCCUUCUGACCGGAAUAUCCUGUGUUACCAUGGACAGCCCCAUGCUGACAGCUGCCUUCCUGGACUCAAGUGUCUCAUCCAGCUGCCCCAGUUGUGAUCACCUUGGGGCAUGCACCAUGACUUUGGACACAGCUGGUACAAUGCCUGGCACAGACAAGAAACUCUCAUUUUACCACCACCUACAACGAUCGCAUCUGUUGUGCUUGUACUAGACAUUCAGCCCUCUGAGAGAGGACCCCGGUGGGCUUUGUUCUCUGUUGGCCGCUCAGCAGGGAGAGCAGAGCAGCGCCUGGCACACUAUGGGCUGCUCAGGAAAAGUAUUUCGAAUGAAUGUUUCAUAAAGGAGAGUACCCUCGACACUUCGAAUAUCAGAGGUCAGAAAGCCCAGCUGGGAAGCCUGGCUUCUCUCAGGCUGGCCAUCUCCAUUGUGACUGUUUCCCCAACCAGUUCAAUUCAGCCUCUGCUGUUUGCAGCUGCAUGGUCAUCAGCAAACUUCUUAAGCCUUCUGGGCCUCCAUUUCUGCAUCUGUAAAGUGGGGCUGUUAUUAUUAGCCCCUUCCUUGCAGAGAUGUAAUCAUGUGAAAUGAAUGACUCCAAAAAACCUUAAGGAAGUGUCUGACUCAGAAGAGCCUCGAUCAAUGUCAUCUACCAUCACCAUCACCACCAUGAUUUGGCUGGGGUAGGCAGUGAAGAUGACAGAAUGGGCUCUGGGGUCCUACCAGAAGAUUAGGGGAUUAAUACCAUUUGCAAGGCCAACGCUAUCCCUGUUUGGUUUUGCCAACCUCUCGAUCCAUCCGUAAAAUAAACCGGAUGAAGCCUUUAUCCAUCUCUUGUUUUGAGAAGGAGGCUAGCAGGGAACGCGGAUUUAAUGUGGCAGAUGGUGCUGUCCUUGAAUUAUGAAACCAAAGGAGGAAAUGAAGGUGCUCGGUUGCAACAGCUACGGGCCAGCCAGGGUAGAGGCCAAGGGGUGAGGCUUCAAGGAGGGCAGAGGGUGUGUUGUAUCAUCCAAGCACUGGCUAUUCUUGAGGGCAGCGGGAGUCCUAGAAUAACAGAAUUUUAUAGCCUAAAAUAAUUUUAGGCCACCCCCUUCAUUUUAUAUAGGCAAACGAGGCCCAGAGAGGGAAAGUAAC